UUUCAAGAACCUUAAUUGGAUCAGCCUUCUCUCCCUUCACAACCACCUUGUGAGUUUUGCAAUCUGUGCUCACAUCUUCCACCCCUGAAAAUUAAUAUCAAAAUUAAGUAAACAUCAACCCAAUAACAUUAAUACAAAACAAACCAAAUAUGAAAAUCCAAACCUUGAAAUCCUUUGAGGCACCGCUUCACCUUGCGAGCACACCCUUCACAAUGCAUAUAAACUUUGAGCACAAUUUCUUGAGGUGGCGGCGGAGGCGGAGGAGCGGCGGCGGCGUCCUCACCCUCCUUGGCAUCUACUUUCCCAUCUUUUCCCUCCACGGCUUUCUUCUCCUCCUUCUUUUCCUCGGCAGCUUCAGGCUUCUUCUCUCCCUCUUUCUUCACCUCCUCUGGCUUCUUCUCCUCCAUUUUCUUCUCCUCAGGCUUCUUCUCCUCCUAAACCAACACAAACCCAAAUACAAGCACAAACCCAAUAAACAAAAGAUGCAAACUUUGAGAGAAACAAAUCAUAUACAAGAAGAAGAAUAUCAAAUCAGAAAAAUGAUUAUUAAGGUUGUAGGACCUCCCCC
rnacentral:lncRNA from 1 species